rnacentral:rRNA from 1 species
AGUGGCGAACGGGUGAGUAACACGUGAGUAACCUGCCCUUGACUCUGGGAUAAGCCUGGGAAACUGGGUCUAAUACCGGAUAUGACCUUCCAUCGCAUGGUGGUUGGUGGAAAGCUUUUGUGGUUUUGGAUGGACUCGCGGCCUAUCAGCUUGUUGGUGGGGUAAUGGCCUACCAAGGCGACGACGGGUAGCCGGCCUGAGAGGGUGACCGGCCACACUGGGACUGAGACACGGCCCAGACUCCUACGGGAGGCAGCAGUGGGGAAUAUUGCACAAUGGGCGCAAGCCUGAUGCAGCGACGCCGCGUGAGGGAUGACGGCCUUCGGGUUGUAAACCUCUUUCAGUAGGGAAGAAGCGAAAGUGACGGUACCUGCAGAAGAAGCGCCGGCUAACUACGUGCCAGCAGCCGCGGUAAUACGUAGGGCGCAAGCGUUAUCCGGAAUUAUUGGGCGUAAAGAGCUCGUAGGCGGUUUGUCGCGUCUGCCGUGAAAGUCCGGGGCUCAACUCCGGAUCUGCGGUGGGUACGGGCAGACUAGAGUGAUGUAGGGGAGACUGGAAUUCCUGGUGUAGCGGUGAAAUGCGCAGAUAUCAGGAGGAACACCGAUGGCGAAGGCAGGUCUCUGGGCAUUAACUGACGCUGAGGAGCGAAAGCAUGGGGAGCGAACAGGAUUAGAUACCCUGGUAGUCCAUGCCGUAAACGUUGGGCAGUAGGUGUGGGGGACAUUCCACGUUUUCCGCGCCGUAGCUAACGCAUUAAGUGCCCCGCCU